UACGGAGGGUGCAAGCGUUAUCCGGAUUCACUGGGUUUAAAGGGUGCGUAGGCGGGCAGGUAAGUCAGUGGUGAAAUCUCCGGGCUUAACCCGGAAACUGCCGUUGAUACUAUCUGUCUUGAAUAUCGUGGAGGUAAGCGGAAUAUGUCAUGUAGCGGUGAAAUGCUUAGAUAUGACAUAGAACACCCAUUGCGAAGGCAGCCUACUACACGAUCAUUGACGCUGAGGCACGAAAGCGUGGGGAGCAAACAGG
rnacentral:rRNA from 1 species